rnacentral:rRNA from 1 species
GGAAUCUUGCGCAAUGGGCGAAAGCCUGACGCAGCAACGCCGCGUGCGGGAAGAAGGCUUUCGGGCUGUAAACCGCUUUCAGUAGGAACGAAACUGACGGUACCUACAGAAGAAGGAGCGGCCAACUAUGUGCCAGCAGCCGCGGUGACACAUAGGCUCCAAGCGUUGUCCGGAUUUAUUGGGCGUAAAGAGCUCGUAGGCGGUUGAGUAAGUCGGGUGUGAAAACUUUGGGCUUAACCCAAAGAUGCCACUCGAUACUGCUUUGACUUGAGCUCGGUAGGGGAGUGGGGAAUUCCUUGUGUAGCGGUGAAAUGCGCAGAUAUAAGGAGGAACACCGGUGGCGAAGGCGCCACUCUGGGCCGAUACUGACGCUGAGGAGCGAAAGCGUGGGGAGCAAACAGGAUUAGAUACCCUGGUAGUCCACGCGGUAAACGGUGGUCACUAGGUGUGGGUCUCUUCAAACGAGAUCUGCGCCGUCGCUAACGCAUUAAGUGACCCGCCUGGGGAGUACGGUCGCAAGACUAAAACUCAAAGGAAUUGACGG